CGUCGUGAGACAGUUCGGUCCCUAUCCGUCGCAGGCGUAGGAAAUUUGAGAAGACCUGUCCUUAGUACGAGAGGACCGGGAUGGACGUACCUCUGGUGUACCAGUUGUCCUGCCAAGGGCAUAGCUGGGUAGCUAUGUACGGAAUGGAUAAGCGCUGAAAGCAUCUAAGCGCGAAGCCAACUUCAAGAUAAGAUUUCCCACCGCAAGGGUAAGACCCCAGAAAGACUAUCUGGUUGAUAGGUCGAAGGUGUAAGUGCAGCAAUGUAUUUAGCUUAUCGAUACUAAUAGGUCGAGGACUUGACCAAU
rnacentral:rRNA from 1 species